rnacentral:rRNA from 1 species
UACAGAGGGGGCAAGCGUUAUUCGGAAUUAUUGGGCGUAAAGGGCGCGUAGGCGGCUUGGCAAGUGGAUGGUGAAAUCCCUCGGCUUAACCGAGGAACUGCCAUCCAGACUGCUUUGCUUGAGGCCGGGAGAGGUAAGUGGAAUUCCCAGUGUAGCGGUGAAAUGCGUAGAUAUUGGGAGGAACACCAGUGGCGAAGGCGGCUUACUGGACCGGUUCUGACGCUGAGGCGCGAAAGCGUGGGGAGCGAACAGG